UGCACUUGAAAUCAAGCCGUAUACGGGUUCGUUUUGCUUGAUUCAUGCUUUGAUUGCAUAAAUGGCAUUCAUGGCGGAAUCGAGCCCGGUUCUUGUCGGCGUUCUUGGUUCAUUGCAAUUUUGUUUAUUUUUAGGACGCUACACAUCAUGGCUCAAAAGGGCAAAGUUAAGUGGUUCAACGCCGAUAAAGGCUUCGGUUUCAUUACUCCCGACGCUGGCGGUUCCGACGUGUUCGCUCACUUCUCCGCUAUCGAAGGCCGCGGCUAUCGCAGCUUGAACGAAGGUCAGGAAGUUGAAUUCGAAGUCAAAGAUGGCCCCAAAGGCCCGCAAGCCGCGGAGAUCCGCCCUCUAUAAUCUUUGCUAGAUUUGUGUAGUUUUCUGCACAGAUUUUCAGCGCCCCGGUGUAUAACCGGGGCGUUUUUG
rnacentral:other from 1 species